AAAACAUGUACUAUAUUCUAAAUAUUAUUUUACUUUUGUACACUAGCCAUUGAUGUUAAUAUAAAUCUUAUUUUAAGAUCAAGUGAUUGAAAACAGUUCAUUAUAAUCAGCUGAAUUGUUGUUUUUGAUGUUUUUUUUUCAAUUGGUUUGUUUUUGAGAAUUGAUGUUUUUAAGUGUUGCCAUUUUAUAGUUAUAUAUCAAAAUGUUAGAAAUUUUCCCAGUCUCUCUCACUUCUGGGCACUUAGGGUGCUGAAUAGAGAUAAUACAAUUUUAUGCACAUAAAGGAUUUAUAUUAAUGACAAAUCUUUUGAAAACUAUUGAUAUUUCUGUUAUUGUUGCAUUGUUCAGGUUUUGCUGUCUUCAUAGAUUGAUCAAUCACCUGCAAGCCUCCAGCUCUGUGGAACAAAAGUUAUAAGGCACCCACAAUUUAAACUUUUAUUGUCCUUUGCAGACAAAUGAAUGAUCCAAGAAAGAGGAGAUCCAGUGAGGCAUGCAUUCAAUGAUUGUGUGUAGUGAAUUGUUGUAAGAGACACAAUUUGAAAAAAGGGGGUGUUUAAUUUAGUGAAAGUAAAUAUUUCAUGUUCAGUUGUUAAAGUAUUUACACAACUACCCAGUCAGAACUUUCAGAUGUGUAAAAUGGGAAUGAUUAUCAUCUUAACAUUUUACAAACAUUACAUCAAUGUAGAUGUAUUGAUUAACACCAACUCAUAAGUACUUGGUUGUUUUUAGGAUACAUGUACCGGUACCUUAAUAUGGUGCUGUACCACAAUUAGCAGUAUUUGUAGUAGUUUAUUGUUAACUGCUUUUAUUGAGAGUAUUUUUGCAAGAUCAUGAUCUUAAUUGUAUCCAUUACCCAUUAAAUUAUGCAUAUUAAUGAAAGAUGAUCAAAAUAC
rnacentral:misc_RNA from 1 species